rnacentral:pre_miRNA from 1 species
GGGGGGAGGCCGGAUCCUGGGCUGUGUCCCGGCGCCCUGUGCUCCGGGGCCUGCGCUGUUGGAUUUGCGCUCCUGGCUGCGCAGCCCCCU